rnacentral:rRNA from 1 species
GGAUCAAUAUUUCGGUCAUGCCGUUGGUAUGCACUGUUAUCAUUGAUUUCUCACCUUCUAAAGAACCGUAAUGCCAUUAAUUUGGUGUUACGGGGAAUUAGGACUGUUACCUUGAAAAUUAGAGUGUUUAAAGCAGGCUCACGCUUGAAUACAUUAGCAUGGAAUAAUGAAAUAGGACGGACUGAUUCUAUUUUGUUGGUUUCUAGGAUCGAUGUAAUGAUUAAUAGGGAUAGUUGGG